CCCUUAGAUGUCCUGGGCCGCACGUGCGCUACACUGAUGCAUGCAACGAGUUUAUAACCUUGGCCUGAAAGGUCUGGGUAAUCUUUUGAACGUGCAUCGUGAUAGGGAUAGAUUAUUGCAAUUGUUAAUCUUGAACGAGGAAUUCCUAGUAAACGCGAGUCAUCAGCUCGCAUUGAUUACGUCCCUGCCCUUUGUACACACCGCCCGUCGCACCUACCGAUUGAAUGGUUCGGUGAAGAUCUCGGACUUCGAUAUUUAUUCUUUAUUGAGUUUAUAUUGUGGGAAGUUAUCUAAACCUCAUCAUUUAGAGGAAGGUGAAGUCGUAACA
rnacentral:rRNA from 1 species